rnacentral:tRNA from 1 species
GAAAAAGAAUGCAAGAACUGCUAACUCAUGCCUCCGUACUUAAAAGUGCGGCUUUUUCAA